GCCUCUGCCUGCCAGUGAUUGCCUCCUCAGUCUUCCUGGCAUCUCUUUUCCAGCCCUCCCUCUUCUGUGGGUGCUCAUGGCUGCAUAUAUACAGAAAACAGUACAAUGGAACCAAGGCUGUCUCUGUGUAUGGGGUUCAUGGGCAGCCCUCCUGGCCAUCCGGAACUUGAUUCUGUGGACUGUAACAUCUGCUACCCCCACUGGGCCCCAUAGCUUGCCCCUGUGGCCGUCGGCUGGCCCUCUCGAUAAAUAAUUGUAAACGGAAAGUACGCCUCCCCAUGCUGGAAGUCCCUAUUACCAAGAAACGUUAAAUACAGCAAUUUGUGCGAACCCAAAUUCCUGGAGCGACGUAGAAUGUGCCAAUAGCGAUAAAUUAUCCACAAUAAAGGAUUAUCUCUUAAUUCCUGAUCAUGUUCCACCUCCAUCUCAUAUAAAAAUGUAAUCUGGUUCUAGAGAUGAGCGGAUUCGGUUUUACUCGGAUUUACUCGGUUCUCAAAACGGCAUCUGA